GGAUUAUAGUUAUUUAGUUUUUGAUACGGUACAUAAAAUACCUUCUUUGUCAUUCGCCCAGCAAUCUUUUCGAUUUAUGUCCGAUCAUCCCUAUCUAGGUCCUAGAUUCUAGGACAUCUUCAAUGCUCGUUUGGUACUUGGUUUCUAUCUCUACACAUACACGACACACCUCGGCCAUAUUUUUAAAAAACCCCUAUUAUUCCAGACUCCCCAUAUAACUGUCCCUUCAUUUUCUCAUUUG